AUUGAACGCUGGCGGCAGGCCUAACACAUGCAAGUCGAGCGAGCGGCGGACGGGUGAGUAAUGUAUGGGGACUGCCCGAUAGAGGGGGAUAACUACUGGAACCGGUGGCUAAUACCCCAUACUGUCGGAUAACCCAUAUGGGAGUGUCUAGUAGGUAAGGUAAUGGCUUACCUAGGCGACGAUCCCUAGCUGGUCUGAGAGGAUGAUCAGCCAAACUGGGACUGAGACACGGCGCAGAAUCCUACGGAGGCAGAAGUGGGGAAUAUUGCACAAUGGGCGCAAGCCUGAUGCAGCCAUGCCGCGUGUAUGAAGAAGGCCCUAGGGUUGUAAAGUAUUUUCAGUCGGGAGGCGGUAGCGACAGAAGAAGCACCGGCUAACUCCGUGCCAGCAGGCGCGGUAAUAG
rnacentral:rRNA from 1 species